rnacentral:tRNA from 1 species
ACCUGGGUGGCUCAGUUGGUUAAGCAUCUGGCUUCAGUUCAGGUGAUCUCGCAGUCCGUGGGUUCAAGUCCCACAUCAGGCU